UAGGGAAUCUUCGGCAAUGGGGGGAACCCUGACCGAGCAACGCCGCGGGAGUGAAGAAGGUUUUCGGAUCGUAAAGCUCUGUUGUUAAGGAAGAACGAGUGUGAGAAUGGAAAGUUCAUGCUGUGACGGUACUUAACCAGAAAGGGACGGCUAACUACGUGCCAGCAGCCGCGGUAAUAUGUAGGUCCCGAGCGUUGUCCGGAUUUAUUGGGCGUAAAGCGAGCGCAGGCGGUUAGAAAAGUCUGAAGUGAAAGGCAGUGGCUCAACCAUUGUAGGCUUUGGAAACUGUUUAACUUUAGUGCAGAAGGGGAGAGUGGAAUUCCAUGUGUAGCGGUGAAAUGCGUAGAUAUAUGGAGGAACACCGGUGGCGAAAGCGGCUCUCUGGUCUGUAACUGACGCUGAGGCUCGAAAGCGUGGGGAGCGAACAGG
rnacentral:rRNA from 1 species